GUCCAUGCUGUUGGCUUUAUAAACACUAAUGUUUACUAUUUAGGAAACGAUGUGGGACUUUAAUAUUACUUCAUGCAAUAGUCCAUGUUGUUCCCAUAACAUAACCAACCAAACUUCAUUUAAUAUUACUUCAUAUUCUUCAACCAGUUAACAUCCCAAGCAUGUACUACCAUUCAUCAUUGUUUCUCAUUCAGUUUGUUUCUUUAUUCUUCAACCAGUUAACAUCCCAAGCAUGUACUACAUUCCCUGAACCACAUUCAAAACCAAACAUUGCUUCUAAUGUUUGUGUUUAAUUUACUUAAUACUAUUUAUUCUUGCAAUCACAUUCACACCUUACUACCAGUAACUUCAGUGAUGCAGCACCUCAUACCGAAAGUCUCAAUUAGCAACUGCGCUACCUGUUUUUGACAACACAAUGAGCACCACAGGGGUGAGAAAAAAGGCCACAAUGGAAGAAUUGAGGAGCCUAAGAAUGGUAACAGCUGUCAAGACUCCAUACUUACCCAAUGGCUUAAUGAUUCUUAUGAUGAACUUGUGUUUAUCAAGCUGGUGGUGAAGAAAUGGGACAGAAAGAAGUCCCACAUCGUUUGUGAGAACAAUGAAGCUAGUGUUUAUAAAGCAAAUUCCUAUUUAGUGUUUUAAGCUGAAUAUAUUUGGACACUAAGUGGGUUGGAGUUAGGACAAAAUUAAUAUAUGUCUUAAUGUCUUAAUAAUAAUAAUUUAAAAAAAUAAUUUUUGAUAAAUAUUAAUAAAAAUCGUUUUUAAAAAAAAAAGUAAAAAGGAAUAAAUAAAAAAAUUGACAAAAUUAAGAAUUCCACGUGGCUAUAAAAAAAUUAAUAAAAAAUAAAAUAAAUAUCCAGCUAGACUGCCAUGUCAUUGAAAAUUGGAAUCUGAGCUGAAAUUGUACAUUCAGGGGCUAUAACGAGAGAAUCUAGAUAUUACGAGGGAAGUUUUACAAAAAAAACUUUACCAGGGGCUAAAAUCAAAACUCGCUAACAUUACAAGGGGGGUUUGUAUAUUUAACCCAAAUAAUUAAUUAGAUUUUAAAUUAAAGUGAGUUUUCAAUAACGGUUGGUUGAUAAGUUAGUUGAUAAC